GGUCAGCUGAUUAGACCUAAAAUAGUCGGUUCGUGGUGGUUAGUAACACACCUAAAAUUACUUA
rnacentral:ncRNA from 1 species